CUACGGGAGGCAGCAGUAAGGAAUAUUGCGCAAUGGAGGCAACUCUGACGCAGCCAUGCCGCGUGCAGGAAGAAGGCCUUAUGGGUCAUAAACUGCUUUUAUUUAGGAAUAAACCCUCGCUCGUGAGCGAGGCUGAAGGUACUGAAUGAAUAAGCACCGGCUAACUCCGUGCCAGCAGCCGCGGUAAUACGGAGGGUGCAAGCGUUAUCCGGAUUUAUUGGGUUUAAAGGGUGCGCAGGCGGGCUAUUAAGUCAGUGGUGAAAUCCCGGGGCUCAACUCCGGAACUGCCAUUGAUACUGAUAGUCUUGAGUUUGGUUGAAGUGGGCGGAAUGUAGCAUGUAGCGGUGAAAUGCAUAGAUAUGCUACAGAACACCAAUCGCGAAGGCAGUUCACUAAGCCAAAACUGACGCUCAUGCACGAAAGCGUGGGGAUCAAACAGGAUUAGAUACCCCCGUAGUC
rnacentral:rRNA from 1 species